UUUAAUUGAAGAGUUUGAUCAUGGCUCAGAUUGAACGCUGGCGGCAGGCCUAACACAUGCAAGUCGAACGGUAGCAGGAAGUGCUUGCACUUCGCUGACGAGUGGCGGACGGGUGAGUAAUGCUUGGGAACUUGCCUUUAGGUGGGGGAUAACAGUUGGAAACGACUGCUAAUACCGCAUAAUGUCUACGGACCAAAGGGGGCUUCG
rnacentral:rRNA from 1 species